AAUCACUUAUACACCCUGUUCCUAAAAUCUCUCUUUCUUUAUUUUCUUUAUUUUCUCUAUUUCACACACCCUAUCUUUCCUAAAAUCCAUCUCUCUUUCUUUUCAAACGGCCUCUCUCUAUUUCUCUCUCCCUCUCCAAUGAACUCAACGUUUUCUCUCUGACUCUUUUGUCAAAUCUCACACACCCUCUUUUCUAUCUCUCUCACUCUUCCUCUAAUACACGCACCCUAACACUAAUUCCUCCUGCAGCUCAAAAUCUCUCGGUCAUUUUCUCCCUCUCUCUACUUUUGCUUUUGCAUUAAUUCUCCAACAAUUGAGCAGGUAAAUUUUCUCUCUCUUUCUUUCAUGUAUGGAUUGAGGGUGUAGCCAUGAUUCCUUUACAAAUGAGGAUUUAUUUAUUUGUUUUUGU
rnacentral:lncRNA from 1 species